UACGGAAGGCAGCAGUGGGGAAUAUUGCACAAUGGGCGCAAGCCUGAUGCAGCCAUGCCGCGUGUAUGAAGAAGGCCUUCGGGUUGUAAAGUACUUUCAGUCGUGAGGAAGGUGUUAAGGUUAAUAACCUUAGCAAUUGACGUUAGCGACAGAAGAAGCACCGGCUAACUCCGUGCCAGCAGCCGCGGUAAUACGGAGGGUGCGAGCGUUAAUCGGAAUUACUGGGCGUAAAGGGCACGCAGGCGGUUAAUUAAGUUGGAUGUGAAAUCCCCGGGCUUAACCUGGGAAUGGCAUUCAAGACUGGUUAGCUAGAGUCUUGUAGAGGGGGUAGAAUUCCAUGUGUAGCGGUGAAAUGCGUAGAGAUGUGGAGGAAUACCGGGUGGCGAAGGCGGCCCCUGGGCAAAGACUGACGCUCAUGUGCGAAAGCGUGGGGAGCAAACAGGGAUUAGAUACC
rnacentral:rRNA from 1 species